rnacentral:rRNA from 1 species
GAUGAACGCUGGCGGCGUGCCUAAUACAAGCAAGUCGAACGAAGAUCUAGCUUGCUAGAUCUUAGUGGCGAACGGGUGAGUAAUACAUAAAUAAUCUGCCCAUAUGACUGGGAUAACUAUUGGAAACGAUAGCUAAUACCGGAUAGGUUGAUCGGAGGCAUCUCUGAUGAAUUAAAGUAGGAUUUCUACACAAAUGGAUGAGUUUAUGGCGCAUUAGUUAGUUGGUGGGGUAACGGCCUACCAAGACGAUGAUGCGUAGCCGACCUGAGAGGGUGACCGGCCACACGGGGACUGAGACACGGCCCAGACUCCUACGGGAGGCAGCAGUAGGGAAUUUUCGGCAAUGGGCGCAAGCCUGACCGAGCAACGCCGCGUGAGUGAUUAAGGCCUUCGGGUUGUAAAGCUCUGUUGUAAGGGAAGAACAUUCAGGAUAGGAAAUGAUCUUGAACUGACGGUACCUUACCAGAAAGCCACGGCUAACUACGUGCCAGCCGCCGCAGUAA